CCGCGCUUACUCGAAAAAAAAACUACAUUGCUUGCGGUGACCGCAUAUAAACAUAAACAUUCCAAUGCGUUCGACGCGUACCACGCGUUUAGUGUUUGUUUUCAUUGUGGAAUGAACCGCGCGUUCAGUUUUAUUCAUGUAUUGAACAGAGCGAUCUGUUCUUCAUUACGACGACGCUCAAAUGAGAUCAUCAAUCGAACAUUUUUGGAAGUUCGGAUUGUAUGUUCGGGCUGUUGUAUGCUGUGUGUCGAUGAGAUUCUAUUUCAUCUAUUUUUAAAAAUGUUCAGACAGUUUAAAACGCACAUAGUACAACUGCUUCUGGAAUAAGCUGUAGUGUGAUUGAAGACGGCGUAUUUUGGUUUAAAAUUUGUGUUUGCUUUGCCUUUAGAUUGUACAGUUUCUUUGUAGAUUGGCGGUUCUUGAAGAAAAAAUAAAAUAAAUUAGUAAAUGAAAUAGA